CAGAGGGUGCGAGCGUCGUCCGGAAUCACUGGGCGUAAAGGGCGCGUAGGCGGCUUGCUAAGUAGGGGUGAAAUCUUGCGGCUCAACUGCAAGGCUGCCUCCUAAACUGUCAGGCUUGAGCACAGUAGAGGCAGGUGGAAUUCCCGGUGUAGCGGUGGAAUGCGUAGAGAUCGGGAAGAACAUCGGUGGCGAAGGCGGCCUGCUGGGCUGUUGCUGACGCUGAGGCGCGACAGCGUGGGGAGCAAACAGGAUUAGAUACCCUGGUAGUCCACGCCGUAAACGAUGGGUACUAGGCGUCGGGGGGAGCGACCCCUUCGGUGCCGUCGCUAACGCAGUAAGUACCCCGCCUGGGGAGUACGGCCGCAAGGCUG
rnacentral:rRNA from 1 species